UACGAAGGGUGCAAGCGUUACUCGGAAUUACUGGGCGUAAAGCGUGCGUAGGUGGUUUGUUAAGUCUGUUGUGAAAUCCCCGGGCUUAACCUGGGAACUGCGUUUCUAACUGGCAGGCUUGAGUGUGGCAGAGGGGGGUGGAAUUCCACGUGUAGCAGUGAAAUGCGUAGAGAUGUGGAGGAACACCGAUGGCGAAGGCAGCCUCCUGGGCCAGCACUGACGCUCAUGCAUGAAAGCGUGGGGAGCAAACAGGA
rnacentral:rRNA from 1 species